rnacentral:piRNA from 1 species
UUGAAGGAAUUUGCUCUUGUUGAUGCUAAC